rnacentral:rRNA from 1 species
GAUGAACGCUGGCGGCGUGCUUAACACAUGCAAGUCGAACGAAGCGCUACCGACGGAACUUUUCGGAGGGAAGAUGGUAAUGACUGAGUGGCGGACGGGUGAGUAACGCGUGGGUAACCUGCCUCACAGAGGGGGACAACAGCCGGAAACGGCUGCUAAUACCGCAUAAUAAAGAAUCUCCGCAUGAAGGUUCUUUCAAAGAUUUAUCGCUGUGAGAUGGACCCGCGUCUGAUUAGCUAGUUGGCAGGGUAACGGCCUACCAAGGCGACGAUCAGUAGCCGGCUUGAGAGAGUGAACGGCCACAUUGGGACUGAGACACGGCCCAG